AUGCUAAAGCGCGAUGCUGACCGUAAGAAACAGUACAUGGCAUAUGCUUUACAGAAAUAUAACGACGACGAGGGUCUUGCUGGGGAGAUGCAUUUUGUGUUUGAUGAAAGUAAAGACGAAGUUUUCAUUAUUGAAGGAAACAUGAACUCCUAUGAACACUUCAACUUUACAGCUAAGCAGGCUGGUUCCACUGUUCUAUUCUUUGCUGAAGUGAUCCCAGACGAAGGAGAACUCUGUAAUGUUCUUUGCUGCAAGCCUUUGGAUUCUGAUGACAAUGGACAUUGCUUUGGUUGUAAGAAUCAAGGUUCCGUGGACUUGAGGCAUCCAGCUGGCAAAAGUUUGUAUGUUGGAGGUCAUGUGGAUUGCGAGUUCCCAUUUAUGUGGGAUAGUAUCAGUGAGGAUGACUCUGAUUGA
rnacentral:rRNA from 1 species